rnacentral:rRNA from 1 species
GAUGAACGCUGGCGGCGUGCCUAAUACAUGCAAGUCGAGCGAACGGACGAGAAGCUUGCUUUUCUGAUGUUAGCGGCGGACGGGUGAGUAACACGUGGAUAACCUACCUAUAAGACUGGGAUAACUUCGGGAAACCGGAGCUAAUACCGGAUAAUAUUUUGAACCGCAUGGUUCAAAAGCGAAAGACGGUCUUGCUGUCACUUAUAGAUGGAUCCGCGCUGCAUUAGCUAGUUGGUAAGGUAACGGCUUACCAAGGCAACGAUGCAUAGCCGACCUGAGAGGGUGACGGGCCACCGUGGAACCGAACACCGGUCCCGCAUCCCACGGGAGGCAGCAGGAGGGAAUCUUCCGAAAGGGGGGAAAGCCUGACGGAGCAACGCCGCGUGGGUGAGGAAGGUUUUCGGAUCGUAAAACUUUUUUAUUAGGGAAAAACAUAUGUGUAAGUAACUGUGCACAUCUUGACGGUACCAAAACAAAAAGCCGCGGCUAACUACGU